CUCAAGAUCGGAGUGUUUUUCUUAUGUAUUUUAAUGUUUAGUGAGAAAUCCUCUGUUAAAAAACAACGUAUAUAGUGUGUGUUUCGAACUUUGAGACGGAAGGCUUUUAGUGAGCAACACAAUGUCGUCUAGAGCCUAGACCCAGGACAGUUAAUCGAGACGGCUUAUCCUGGCGGUGUAUUGACUGCACCUUUGCGGUGCCACAGCAACGAGUAUAUUUAUUGGACGAGUUGUCCAGUUUGUUUCAAUGCUGGAAUGAGUUUGUGCUGCCUGCUGGAGAUCAGCUAAUAGAAAGGUUCACAGACAAUAUGACAUGACCCAACCAGCGCUGCAAGAAGUGAUUCACUCAGUUCAAGAGUAUAUAUAAACCUGCUGCAGCUAUAUCAAAUUCUUGUUUUCAUUUUGGGAUGCCAAGAAUAUAUACCUCUAUUAAAAAUAUACAUCUAUAUAAAAAUAUACAUAGGAUUUCGUA
rnacentral:lncRNA from 1 species